AGCGGCGGAUGGGUGAGUAACACGUGGGGAACCUGCCCCUAAGUCUGGGAUACCAUUUGGAAACAGGUGCUAAUACCGGAUAAUAAAGCAGAUCGCAUGAUCAGCUUUUGAAAGGCGGCGUAAGCUGUCGCUAAGGGAUGGCCCCGCGGUGCAUUAGCUAGUUGGUAAGGUAACGGCUUACCAAGGCGACGAUGCAUAGCCGAGUUGAGAGACUGAUCGGCCACAUUGGGACUGAGACACGGCCCAAACUCCUACGGGAGGCAGCAGUAGGGAAUCUUCCACAAUGGACGCAAGUCUGAUGGAGCAACGCCGCGUGAGUGAAGAAGGUUUUCGGAUCGUAAAGCUCUGUUGUUGGUGAAGAAGGAUAGAGGUAGUAACUGGCCUUUAUUUGACGGUAAUCAACCAGAAAGUCACGGCUAACUACGUGCCAGCAGCCGCGGUAAUACGUAGGUGGCAAGCGUUGUCCGGAUUUAUUGGGCGUAAAGCGAGCGCAGGCGGAAAAAUAAGUCUAAUGUGAAAGCCCUCGGCUUAACCGAGGAACUGCAUCGGAAACUGUUUUUCUUGAGUGCAGAAGAGGAGAGUGGAACUCCAUGUGUAGCGGUGGAAUGCGUAGAUAUAUGGAAGAACACCAGUAGCGAAAGGCGGCUCUCUGGUCUGCAACUGACGCUGAGGCUCGAAAGCAUGGGUAGCGAGCAGGAUUAGAUACCCUGGUAGUCCAUGCCGUAAACGAUGAGUGCUAAGUGU
rnacentral:rRNA from 1 species